GACGAACGCUGGCGGCGUGCUUAACACAUGCAAGUCGAACGGAAAGGCCCUGCUUUUGUGGGGUGCUCGAGUGGCGAACGGGUGAGUAACACGUGAGUAACCUGCCCUUGACUUUGGGAUAACUUCAGGAAACUGGGGCUAUUACCGGAUAGGAGCUCCUGCUGCAUGGUGGGGGUUGGAAAGUUUCGGCGGUUGGGGAUGGACUCGCGGCUUAUCAGCUGGUUGGUGGGGUAGUGGCUUACCAAGGCUUUGACGGGUAGCCGGCCUGAGAGGGUGACCGGCCACAUUGGGACUGAGAUACGGCCCAGACGCCUACGGGAGGCAGCAGUGGGGAAUAUUGCACAAUGGGCGGAAGCCUGAGGCAGCAACGCCGCGUGCGGGAUGACGGCCUUCGGGUUGUAAACCGCUUUCGCCGGUGACGAAGCGUGAGUGACGGUAAUGGGUAAAGAAGCACCGGCUAACUACGUG
rnacentral:rRNA from 1 species